ensembl:lncRNA novel transcript, antisense to PROK1
UUCAGUUGGUGCUUUUAUUCUAAAGCCAGCAGGUUGGUGUGUAGUUGCCUCCCUGGUCUGAAUCAGUGCCCCUUUCAGCCCCUGCCCUGCUCCCUGUCCCUUGCUCCCACCCCAAUCUGGACAGAGGACUGCCCUCCUCAAAGUCACCAACCUGCUCUCAGGGCUGAUCCUUGGAAAGGAGUUGUUUAAGGAAACACCCUAAUUGCCUUCUAAUAUGUCAAUAUCAGAUUAGAUUGAACCACCACCAUUUGCAUUUUAAUGGAAAAGCUGUGGGAAUUGGGGGCUUCAGUGGUUAACUGGUAAAGUGUGGAAAGAGAGCAGGUCACCUGGGGAGGGGAGGGGGAAUGUCCUUUCUGCCAUUUACCACCUCUCUGGCAGCCUGAGCAGGGAAGAGAACCAGGCUGGCCACCUUUCACACCACAGCCUCAAGCUGUGACAUCCUCAGGCCAGCCUGGGGACCAUGUCAUGAUGGGAGGUAUGUC